UACGUAGGUGGCGAGCGUUGUCCGGAUUUACUGGGCGUAAAGGGCGUGCAGGCGGUUUGUUUAGUCUAGGGUGAAAGCUCCCGGCUCAACUGGGAGAGGUCCUUGGAUACUGGCAGACUUGAGGGAGGUAGAGGAGAGUGGAAUUCCCGGUGUAGUGGUGAUAUGCGUAGAGAGCGGGAGGAACAGCAGUGGCGAAGGCGGCUCUCUGGGCCUUACCUGACGCUGAGACGCGAAAGCGUGGGGAGCGAACCGG
rnacentral:rRNA from 1 species